UACGUAGGAGGCAAGCGUUGUCCGGAUUUAUUGGGCGUAAAGAGCGUGUAGGCGGUCAGGUAGGUCCGUUGUGAAAACUCGAGGCUCAACCUCGAGACGCCGAUGGAAACCAUCUGACUAGAGUCCGGAAAGAGGAGAGUGGAAUUCCUGGUGUAGCGGUGAAAUGCGCAGAUGUCAGGAAGAACACCCGUGGCUAAGGCGGCUCUCUAGUACGGUACUGACGCUGAGACGCGAAAGCGUGGGGAGCGAACAGG
rnacentral:rRNA from 1 species